rnacentral:rRNA from 1 species
UACGGGGGGGGCAAGCGUUGUUCGGAAUUACUGGGCGUAAAGGGCUCGUAGGCGGCCAACUAAGUCGGAUGUGAAAUCCCCAGGCUCAACUUGGGAACUGCAUCCGAUACUGGAUGGCUUGAAUUCGGGAGAGGGAUGCAGAAUUCCAGGUGUAGCGGUGAAAUGCGUAGAUAUCUGGAGGAAUACCGGUGGCGAAGGCGGCAUCCUGGACCGACAUUGACGCUGAGGAGCGAAGGCUAGGGGAGCGAACGGG